rnacentral:rRNA from 1 species
GACGAACGCUGGCGGCGUGCUUAACACAUGCAAGUCGAACGGAAAGGCCCUGCUUGCAGGGUACUCGAGUGGCGAACGGGUGAGUAACACGUGGGUGAUCUGCCCUGCACUUCGGGAUAAGCCUGGGCAACUGGGUCUAAUACCGGAUAGGAGCCAUUUUUAGUGUGAUGGUUGGAAAGUUUUUUCGGUGUAGGAUGAGCUCGCGGCCUAUCAGCUUGUUGGUGGGGUAAUGGCCUACCAAGGCGGCGACGGGUAGCCGGCCUGGGAGGGUGGACGGCCACAUUGGGACUGAGAUGCGGCCCAGACUCCUACGGGAGGCAGAAGGGGGGAAUAUUGCACAAUGGGCGCAAGCCUGAUGCAGCGACGCCGCGUGGGGGAUGACGGCCUUCGGGUUGUAAACUCCUUUCGCUAGGGACGAAGCUUUUUGUGACGGUACCUAGAGAAGAAGCACCGGCUAACUACGUG